UACGUAGGGGGCAAGCGUUGUCCGGAAUCAUUGGGCGUAAAGAGCGUGUAGGCGGCCAGAUAAGUCCGCUGUGAAAUCUCGAGGCUUAACUUCGAGCUGUCGGUGGAAACUGUCUGGCUAGAGUCCGGAAGAGGAGAAUGGAAUUCCUGGUGUAGCGGUGAAAUGCGCAGAUAUCAGGAAGAACACCCGUGGCGAAGGCGGUUCUCUGGGACGGUACUGACGCUGAGACGCGAAAGCGUGGGGAGCGAACAGG
rnacentral:rRNA from 1 species